rnacentral:pre_miRNA from 1 species
UUAUUACUCCCUCCGUUCGGAAUUACUUGUCGUGAAAAUGGAUGUAUCUAGAACUAAAAUACGUCUAGAUACAUCCAUUUCUGCGACAAGUAAUUCCGAACGGAGGGAGUAUGAG